rnacentral:rRNA from 1 species
UGAAUAACGGAGUGAAAUAGACCCUGAAACCAUACGCUUACAAGCGGUCGGAGCAGCAUUAGCUGUGACGGCGUGCCUUUUGCAUAAUGAGCCUACGAGUUACUGUUACCAGCGAGGAUAAGUAUUUCAGAUACGAAUCCGCAUCGAAAGAGAGUCUGAAAAGGGCGCAAAUAGUUGGUAGUAGUAGACGCGAAACCUGGUGAUCUACCCUUGGGCAGGUUGAAGCACUGGUAACACAGUGUGGAGGACCGAACUGGUUGUCGUUGAAAAGACUUCGGAUGACCUGAGGGUAGGGGUGAAAGGCCAAUCAAACUGGGAAAUAGCUCGUACUCCCCGAAAUGCAUUUAGGUGCAGCGUUGUGUUAAAGUUUAAUAGAGGUAGAGCUACUGAUUGGAUGCGGGGGUUUCACCGCCUACCAAUUCCUGACAAACUCCGAAUGCUAAUAAAUGUUGAUCAGCAGUGAGGGUAUGGGUGCUAAGGUCCAUAUCCGAGAGGGAAAGAACCCGGACCAUCAGCUAAGGUCCCCAAAUAUAUGCUAAGUUGACCAAACGCGGUCUGACUGCACUGACAGCUAGGAUGUUGGCUUGGAAGCAGCCAUACAUUUAAAGAGUGCGUAACAGCUCACUAGUCGAGCGGUUCGGCAUGGAGAAUAAACGGGCAUAAGCAUAUUACCGAAGCUAUGGGGUAGAGAUACCGGUAGGGGAGCAUUCUAUAGGCGUUGAAGCUAAAGGCGUGAGCCAUAGUGGAGCUGAUAGAAAAGAAAAUGUAGGCAUAAGUAACGAUAAGGCAGGCGAGAAACCUGCCCGCCGAAAGAUCAAGGUUUCCUCAGCUAUGCUAAUCAGCUGAGGGUUAGUCGGGGACUAACGCGCACCCGAGUAGGGGAAGUGGAUGUACAACGGGUUAAUAUUCCCGUACCAUUAAUCUACUAAAAGUGACGGAAUGAGAUAGCUGCCGCGUACUGACGGAAUAGUACGUUUAAGGAGUUGUUAUGACUUCAAAAGUACACUGAGGCUUCGGCUGAUGUGAGUGUGGUGACAACGUUUCCAAGAAAAGCGAAGAUUAAUGCCCGUACCGUAAACCGACACAGGUGAUUGGGAAGAGAAUUCUAAGGCGCUCGAGAGAUUCAUGGCUAAGGAACUAGGCAAAAUAGACCUGUAACUUCGGGAGAAAGGUCGCCUAUCUUAUGAUAGGCCGCAGUGAAAAGGUCCAAGCGACUGUUUAUCAAAAACACAGGACUCUGCAAAAUCGAAAGAUGAGGUAUAGGGUCUGACACCUGCCCGGUGCUGGAAGGUUAAGAGGAGAGCUUAGUGGUAACACGAAGGUUUGAAUUGAAGCCCCAGUAAACGGCGGCCGUAACUAUAACGGUCCUAAGGUAGCGAAAUUCCUUGUCGGGUAAGUUCCGACCUGCACGAAUGGUGUAACGAUUUGGACACUGUCUCGGCCAUGAGCUCGGUGAAAUUGUAGUAUCGGUGAAGAUGCCGAUUACCCGCAGUGGGACGAAAAGACCCUGUGCACCUUUACUAUAUCUUCGUAUUGGUCUUGGAUAAGUGAUGCGUAGGAUAGGUGGGAGACUUAGAAGCGGCUAUUCCGGUAGUUGUGGAGUCAUUGUUGAAAUACCACCCUUUGCUUAUCUGAGGUCUAACCCUGCUAGGAGUAGGGGACAAUUCGUGGAGGGUAGUUUGACUGGGGUGGUCGCCUCCAAAAGCGUAACGGAGGCUUCUAAAGGU